rnacentral:lncRNA from 1 species
AUUUAUUUAGUUUUUACUAAUCUACUGUAUAAGAUUUUUACAUUUGUCUUAUAGUAUGCAAGGAGCACAUUUUCACAAACUUGGCCUAAAAUACAGUUAUUUUGUAGUGCAUUUCUUUUAGAUUUUUUUUUAGACAAUAAAUUCAAAUUAAAAAGAAUUUUACAGUGUACUGCAUUACUACUAGAGACAAAUAAUAUCAAAAUAAUAAAUAAAGUCUACCAGCUAUAACUCAAAAGAUUGACAAUUCUAUGUAAGGGGGGUCUAAAGUUCAGAUUGACAGCUUCAGAAUUACUAAUUUUUUACCUUUUUUAACUAAACCUAAUCACUACUUAACAUAAAUUAUCAGCACCCAGAAUUAUUAUCCCC